rnacentral:rRNA from 1 species
CAGUCGCCGCGGUAAUACAGAGGGUGCGAGCGUUAAUCGGAUUUACUGGGCGUAAAGCGUGCGUAGGCGGCUUCUUAAGUCGGAUGUGAAAUCCCUGAGCUUAACUUAGGAAUUGCAUUCGAUACUGGGAAGCUAGAGUAUGGGAGAGGAUGGUAGAAUUCCAGGUGUAGCGGUGAAAUGUGUAGAGAUCUGGAGGAAUACCGAUGGCGAAGGCAGCCAUCUGGCCUAAUACUGACGCUGAGGUACGAAAGCAUGGGGAGCAAACAGGAUUAGAUACCCCUGUAGUCCCUGUCUCUUAUAC